rnacentral:lncRNA from 1 species
UGAAAAUAGAAAGUUAGAGCUUAAAACAUUUGACAGAUUUGAGAGUAAAAGAAGCUUAGAGUGAUAAAGUUUGAAAGGGUCUUUCAGACAUUCUAUUUUUUUUAAACAUCAUUUUGAAUAUCUUUUAGACCCAAAGAGAGGAGAAACAACAGACAAAGUUUUCAGGAAAGCUCAAAAUCAGUUAUUGAGUUCUAUAAAGAAUGUAGAAUUUUAAAAGAGAGGGAUUUAGGAGUCUAUUGUUCCACUGGAUUAUAGCUUGUUGAAGUUUCAGAAGCUCACUGUGUUCAUUUCAAGAUCAUUUGAGUGAUUUUGGUGCUGUCGUGGGUUGAUUUACCAAUCUUGCUUGGUUUGAAACUUUUCUGCAAUCUCUGAACCAUUUAUAGGCUGAGAGUGGCCGUGGUGGUUGCUGUUUUGAACUUCUGGUUGCUGUUGUCUCUUCUUCUGUUGCUAAUUUUCUUUCUACUCGAUUAUAUUUCCAGGUAUGAUCCCUGAACUAUUGAUUAUGUAAUACGUGAUCCUGGAUUUGAAAUGAAGCUCAGCCGCCUCCAAUACUGUUUCCAUGCCAUUUAUUUUUCAUGUAUUAGCUGUGUAUGCUCGUGUGUAUUAGCUUAGUUAAAAUUCUGUUUUAGCAGUCAAGUUUCCCUUGUUAACUACAUGAACUGUGAAAAACUGUGAUGAUCCUGUUAUUUGUAUUGCUACCAUUACAAAUGCGUUAGCUACGUAGCCAUUCGUUUAAACCGUAGUUAAGUCAAAGCUAGUAUUGAUUCAGAAUCAGAGAUAUCUAGCUAUGAACUUGCGAAUAUGGGAGUAGAAGUAAUUUGAAUUAGGUGAAUUUUUGAAUCUUGUUAGCAACGAAGAUCCGCAAGUAUUAGGCAAAUAUAGUUGGUUAUUAAUUUUGUAGAAUCAAGAUGUAGCAAUGGA